rnacentral:tRNA from 1 species
CAAAAAGUAGCUUACACCACAAAGCAUCUGGCUUACAACCAGAAGCCGUUGUUAACACAACCUUUUUGA